AGAGUUUGAUCAUGGCUCAGAUUGAACGCUGGCGGCAUGCCUUACACAUGCAAGUCGAACGGCAGCAUGAUCUAGCUUGCUAGAUUGAUGGCGAGUGGCGAACGGGUGAGUAAUACAUCGGAACGUGCCCUGUAGUGGGGGAUAACUAGUCGAAAGAUUAGCUAAUACCGCAUACGACCUGAGGGUGAAAGUGGGGGACCGCAAGGCCUCAUGCUAUAGGAGCGGCCGAUGUCUGAUUAGCUAGUUGGUGAGGUAAAGGCUCACCAAGGCGACGAUCAGUAGCUGGUCUGAGAGGACGAUCAGCCACACUGGGACUGAGACACGGCCCAGACUCCUACGGGAGGCAGCAGUGGGGAAUUUUGGACAAUGGGCGAAAGCCUGAUCCAGCAAUGCCGCGUGUGUGAAGAAGGCCUUCGGGUUGUAAAGCACUUUUGUCCGGAAAGAAAUGGCUCUGGUUAAUACCUGGGGUCGAUGACGGUACCGGAAGAAUAAGGACCGGCUAACUACGUGCCAGCAGCCGCGGUAAUACGUAGGGUCCAAGCGUUAAUCGGAAUUACUGGGCGUAAAGCGUGCGCAGGCGGUUGUGCAAGACCGAUGUGAAAUCCCCGAGCUUAACUUGGGAAUUGCAUUGGUGACUGCACGGCUAGAGUGUGUCAGAGGGGGGUAGAAUUCCACGUGUAGCAGUGAAAUGCGUAGAGAUGUGGAGGAAUACCGAUGGCGAAGGCAGCCCCCUGGGAUAACACUGACGCUCAUGCACGAAAGCGUGGGGGAGCAAACAGGAUUAGAUACCCUGAUAGUCCACGCCCUAAACGAUGUCAACUAGUUGUUGGGGAUUCAUUUCCUUAGUAACGUAGCUAACGCGUGAAGUUGACCGCCUGGGGAGUACGGUCGCAAGAUUAAAACUCAAAGGAAUUGACGAAUCGUCGACCUGCAGGCAUGCAAGCUUGGCACUGGCGUCGUUUUACAACGUCGUGACUGGGAAAACCCUGGCGUUACCCAACUUAAUCGCC
rnacentral:rRNA from 1 species